GACGAACGCUGGCGGCGUGCUUAACACAUGCAAGUCGAACGAAGUGGCGAACGGGUGAGUAAUACGUGGGUAACCUGCCCUCCUUUUUGGGAUAAGCCUUGGAAACGGGGUCUAAUACCGAAUAAAGGGGGAUGGGCUCGCGGCCUAUCAGCUGGUUGGUGGGGUGAUGGCCUACAAAGGCGGUGACGGGUAGCCGGCCUGAGAGGGUGACCUGCCACUUUGGGACGGAGUUACGGCCCAGACUCCUACGGGGGGCGGCAGUGGGGGUGUUUGCCAAAUGGGCGACAGCCUGAUUCCGCGACGCCGCGUGGGGGUUGAAGGCUUUCGGGUUGUAACCCUCUUUCGCUAUCGACCGGGUAGGUGGAGAAGACGCGCCGGCUAACUCCGUGCCAGCAGCCGCGGUAAUUC
rnacentral:rRNA from 1 species